AAUCCCUAAAAAUUCAUAACGGAAAUAAUGCGUAUCACGUGUAUAUAUUCUAUGUCUCAUUUUUUUCAAUAGUUAUAGAAUUUCUUGGCGACGCAAAAAAGAACAUUUUAUAUUUAUUCUAUAGCUAUUAUAUCUGAAACUUAAACGUGUUGAAGAAUAUUUUUUCAGUUUGCUUUCUUGGUUCAUUUGGCUUAUUGGCUUAAAAAAAGAUCCAUUAAAUUUCAAUCUCUUUGAAAAUAUUUGAAGAUAAUUUGAAUUAUCUAUUUAAAAUAAUAAUAUAAGGAAAAAUCUUUUGUUGAAAAAUACAAACAUGUCAGUGGCAGGAUAACAGGUAAGUUAAGAGGUUUCGUUAUAGGUUAUCCCGAAGGAUAGAUAUUCACUACUAGUGCAGGUUUUCCCCAUGGAAAAGCAAUGUUUUUCGGUCAAGAAACUAACACAUAUCAACAAAUAAAAUCACUGAAAGAAGCUGUAUACGUUUUUCCCGACCUAGGGCAACUUAGCAAUAUAGAGAAUAAAAUUGCCUUCGAACGAGAAAAUUCCCGAUACUAGAACACGAAUUUCCCUCACGACUAGGAGGCCAUGUUCAAGGGAAAGUUGAAAAUCUUUCGAAAGAACUUUGCCUGUGGGAUAUUCUCGAUAUAAUGAGAUCCUGCUCUCACUUUGGUCCAGAAAUCAGUAUUAUUGACCAAUGGAUUUUUCCUCUAUUUAAAUGAAAAUAAAUGUAAAAAAUUAUUUCAAUCAAAAUCUUCAAUAACUAUAGAGUCAAAAAUAAAUCUAGAUAAGAAAGAAAAAAAGAAAAAUGAAAAGAAAAUUAAGUUGAAAACAAAAAUAAGAAAAAACUAAUCAUCUUAAUUUUUCAAAUAUAAUUUUUUUUAUUUAUUAUCAUUAUUUCAGAUCUUAGCGAUAUCAGCUUUUGAAAAUAGAUUAUGAUGAAAAAAAAUUGAAAAAAUUGGAAAUUGGACUAUUCAUAGAAAUUUUAUUAAUGAUUUUAUCUAAAUUUAAUUUGGAUUUGUAUUAAAGUCCAUAAAUAUAAUUUUAAAUUCAUUUCAUAUUUUAAAUGCAUUCUAAAAACAUUUAUUUUCAACUAUCUAUUGUGAACAUAAUCUUAAAUAUAUUAAAACAUUUCGUAUUUUUUAUUUGAAUUUAAAAAAAUUCAAUAAUAUAAAUAAUAUAAAUCUUAUCGAUAAGAAAAUACACACACACACGCACACAUACAAAAUAACUUAUAUUUUUUCCAUGAAAAAUAUUCAAUAUUACAAAAAGAUAUUUUUUUUCAUUUCAGAAAAGAUUCAAAUUAAAUUAUUAAAAUUUUUAGAAUACAUUUGAAACAUAGUAUAACUGCAGGAAUAAUUUAUUUCAAAAAUGAUGAUUUAAAAUUUGUAUGAUUCGAUUUUAUUCUUAACUAAUGGAAUUAUCUUUGAAUUAACUAGCAAGAAAACUGUACUAUAAAUUUGUAUUACUUAUAUUACAAAGUGAAAAAUAAAAUAUAUAAU